rnacentral:rRNA from 1 species
AGUGAACGCUGGCGGUAGGCCUAACACAUGCAAGUCGAACGGCAGCACAGUAAGUGCUUGCUCUUACGGCUGGCGAGUGGCGGACGGGUGAUGAAUACAUCGGAGUCUACUUUUUCGUGGGGGAUAACGUAGGGAAACUUACGCUAUUACCGCAUACGACCUACGGGUGAAAUCAGGGGAUCUUCGGACCUUACUCGAUUGUAUGACCCGAUGUCGGAUUAGCUAGUUGGCGGGGUAAAGGCCCACCAAGGCGACGCUCCGUAGCUGGUCUGAGAGGAUGAUCAGCCACACUGGAACUGAGACACGGUCCAGACUCCUACGGGAGGCAGCAGUGGGGAAUAUUGGACAAUGGGCGAAAGCCUGAUCCAGCCAUACCGCGUGGGUGAAGAAGGCCUUCGGGUUGUAAAGCACUUUUGUUGGGAAAGAAAAGCAGCAGGUUAAUACCCCGCUGUUCUGACGGUACCAAAAGAAUAAGCACCGGCUAACUUCGUG